UAUUCUGCCCCACGGGGAAGGAUGAGAAGGUUCGACUCGAGCGUAGCGAGAGAACGUGGCCGAAGGCAACGGCCCGAAGGGCGAGGCGCUUUAGCGCCGAGUCAUCCUUCCCCCACCGCUG
rnacentral:sRNA from 1 species